rnacentral:lncRNA from 1 species
CCAUGGUGGAGGACUUCAUUAACAAGGUUCUUUCAUCCUGGCUGGCAGCUCAGGUCAUUAAGCCUGGCUUGAAAGAAGUGGGAGAUGGCUUUAGGGAGAAUGCCACUCCCUGUGAGUCUCUCUUCUAAACAUUCUCCAUCCCUGUUUCUAUCCUGGGAAUAAACGUUAAGAGAUGCCCAGGUAACAAGGAAAGCCAACAUUCUGAAGGCUUCGCACGUUCUGAAAUUCCUUGCUAUGUUAACAAGAAUCAGCAUGAGAUGGCUUGACCCAGAGGGUGCAUGCCUGCAACCUCAGCACUGCAGUUACUAAGGAAGGCAGUUCUCGUGCCCAAGGCCAACCUGCACUUCAGAGCAAGAGCUUGCUUCAAAAGAACAGGGCUGGGCUGUGGAAGACGGCUUGGCAUUUGCUGUACCAACUGGUGACUCAUGUCUGAGAACCAGAUCCCACUUGGGUGGAGGAGAGAACUGACCAACUCCCAAAGUUGUUCUCUGACCGCCACAUGUUGACAAAAUUCAUCAUCGCGGGAGCUGUGUUUUGAAAGUGCCUGAAAGUGACAGGCUCCAGGAAGGCUGUAGAUUCUAAGGCCACGGCAUAUUCACA